rnacentral:rRNA from 1 species
GGGUUGUGAGGUUAAGCGACUAAGCGUACACGGUGGAUGCCCUGGCAGUCAGAGGCGAUGAAGGGCGUGCUAAUCUGCGAUAAGCGCCGGUAAGGUGAUAUGAACCGUUAUAACCGGCGAUACCCGAAUGGGGAAACCCAGUGUGAUUCGUCACACUAUCAUUAACUGAAUCCAUAGGUUAAUGAGGCGAACCGGGGGAACUGAAACAUCUAAGUACCCCGAGGAAAAGAAAUCAACCGAGAUUCCCCCAGUAGCGGCGAGCGAACGGGGAGGAGCCCAGAGCCUGAAUCAGCAUGUGUGUUAGUGGAAGCGUCUGGAAAGGCGCGCGAUACAGGGUGACAGCCCCGUACACAAAAGCGCAUGUGCUGUGAGCUCGAUGAGUAGGGCGGGACACGUGGUAUCCUGUCUGAAUAUGGGGGGACCAUCCUCCAAGGCUAAAUACUCCUGACUGACCGAUAGUGAACCAGUACCGUGAGGGAAAGGCGAAAAGAACCCCGGCGAGGGGAGUGAAAAAGAACCUGAAACCGUGUACGUACAAGCAGUGGGAGCACAGGUUUACCUGUGUGACUGCGUACCUUUUGUAUAAUGGGUCAGCGACUUAUAUUCUGUAGCAAGGUUAACCGUAUAGGGGAGCCGGAGGGAAACCGAGUCUUAACCGGGCGUUAAGUUGCAGGGUAUAGACCCGAAACCCGGUGAUCUAGCCAUGGGCAGGUUGAAGGUUGGGUAACACUAACUGGAGGACCGAACCGACUAAUGUUGAAAAAUUAGCGGAUGACCUGUGGCUGGGGGUGAAAGGCCAAUCAAACCGGGAGAUAGCUGGUUCUCCCCGAAAGCUAUUUAGGUAGCGCCUCGUGAAUUCAUCUCCGGGGGUAGAGCACUGUUUCGGCUAGGGGGCCAUCCCGGCUUACCAACCCGAUGCAAACUGCGAAUACCGGAGAAUGUUAUCACGGGAGACACACGGCGGGUGCUAACGUCCGUCGUGAAGAGGGAAACAACCCAGACCGCCAGCUAAGGUCCCAAAGUCAUGGUUAAGUGGGAAACGAUGUGGGAAGGCACAGACAGCCAGGAUGUUGGCUUAGAAGCAGCCAUCAUUUAAAGAAAGCGUAAUAGCUCACUGGUCGAGUCGGCCUGCGCGGAAGAUGUAACGGGGCUAAACCAUGCACCGAAGCUGCGGCAGCGACGUUUAUGCGUUGUUGGGUAGGGGAGCGUUCUGUAAGCCUGCGAAGGUGGCCUGUGAGGGUUGCUGGAGGUAUCAGAAGUGCGAAUGCUGACAUAAGUAACGAUAAAGCGGGUGAAAAGCCCGCUCGCCGGAAGACCAAGGGUUCCUGUCCAACGUUAAUCGGGGCAGGGUGAGUCGACCCCUAAGGCGAGGCCGAAAGGCGUAGUCGAUGGGAAACGGGUUAAUAUUCCCGUACUUGGUGUUACUGCGAAGGGGGGACGGAGAAGGCUAUGUUGGCCGGGCGACGGUUGUCCCGGUUUAAGCGUGUAGGCUGGUUUUCCAGGCAAAUCCGGAAAAUCAAGGCUGAGGCGUGACGACGAGGCACUACGGUGCUGAAGCAACAAAUGCCCUGCUUCCAGGAAAAGCCUCUAAGCAUCAGGUAACAUCAAAUCGUACCCCAAACCGACACAGGUGGUCAGGUAGAGAAUACCAAGGCGCUUGAGAGAACUCGGGUGAAGGAACUAGGCAAAAUGGUGCCGUAACUUCGGGAGAAGGCACGCUGACACGUAGGUGAAGUGAUUUACUCAUGGAGCUGAAGUCAGUCGAAGAUACCAGCUGGCUGCAACUGUUUAUUAAAAACACAGCACUGUGCAAACACGAAAGUGGACGUAUACGGUGUGACGCCUGCCCGGUGCCGGAAGGUUAAUUGAUGGGGUCAGCGCAAGCGAAGCUCCUGAUCGAAGCCCCGGUAAACGGCGGCCGUAACUAUAACGGUCCUAAGGUAGCGAAAUUCCUUGUCGGGUAAGUUCCGACCUGCACGAAUGGCGUAAUGAUGGCCAGGCUGUCUCCACCCGAGACUCAGUGAAAUUGAACUCGCUGUGAAGAUGCAGUGUACCCGCGGCAAGACGGAAAGACCCCGUGAACCUUUACUAUAGCUUGACACUGAACAUUGAGCCUUGAUGUGUAG